rnacentral:lncRNA from 1 species
CUAGAUCUCUUUUAUUAUCUCAAUUAUCCUCAUUUUGACCCAACUUGACUAGAUUACAUCACCCCAAAGCAAAUUAGACCGGAUGACGUCAAAUUUACGCACAAACAUUAAGGAUAAGUUUCCUUCACGACUAAUCUUAGACCUUCAAAUUUUGGAAGUUGGCAUGUAUUUCUUCUAUCAACUAACAUGAGAGUAAGGUUAGCCGACAUUCACCUCUCUCAGACCCUGCGUAAAGCGGGAGCAUUAUGCACUGGAUACGACCUUUUUUUAACUAACAUGGGAUCUAGUGAGUUAUCUACUCAAAUCCAUCCUAGGCACCAAAGGAGGCCUAGAUGUUUUGUCACACAGUCGUGCAAUGUAUU